AAAGUCGUAACAAGGUCUCCGUUGGUGAACCAGCGGAGGGAUCAUUAGCGAGUUUUAAACUCCCAACCCUCGUGGACAUACCUAUCGUUGCUUCGGCGGGGCGCCCUAACACAGGGCGCUGCCCCUCACGGGGCGCCCGCCGGCGGCACGCAAACCAAACUCUGUCUUCUGGUUGAAUUCUGAGUAGACUAUAAAUAAGUCAAAACUUUCAGCAACGGAUCUCUUGGUUCUG
rnacentral:misc_RNA from 1 species